rnacentral:snoRNA from 1 species
UGGACCGCUGGUGACAUAUGAGUGUGUCUAAAUCAAGAACUUUGAUUAAACCAUAUCUGCAACUCUGAGGUUCAU